UGUUAAAUGCGUUGGCGAUGUCAAGAG
rnacentral:sRNA from 1 species